ACGGCUACCACUUCUAAGGAAGGCAGCAGGCGCGUAAAUUACCCAAUCCCAAUUCGGGGAGGUAGUGACAAGAAAUAAUAACUCGGGUAGUUCUACUAUUACGGGAUUAAAAUGAGAACAAUUUAAAAAUCUUAGCGAGGAUCAAAAUGAGGGCAAGUCUGGUGCCAGCAGCCGCGGUAAUUCCAGCUCAUUUAGUGUAUGUUAAAGUUGUUGCAGUUAAAAAGCUCGUAGUCGAUCAUCUAGUGCUGGCUGCUUCGGCUUCGGCUGCGGUACGCGAGUGCUAUCUGCUCGAGAACUUUAUCGGUCUUAACUGGUCGAUGAUGCUGAUCGGGCACUUUCCUGAGAAAAAAUUAGAGUGUUCAAAGCAGGCUAAUGCCUUGAAUAUUACAGCUUGGAAUAAUAGAAUAAGACUGAAGUCUCUUUUGUUGGUUAUGAACUUUAGUAAUGGUUAAUAGGAACAGUCGGGGGUAUUAGUAUUUAAUUGUCAGAGGUGAAAUUCUAUGAUUUAUUAAAGACUAACUUAUGCGAAAGCAUUUGCCAAGGAUGUUUUCAAUUGAUCAAGAACGAAAGUUAGGGGAUCAAAGACGAUCAGAUACCGUCCUAGUCUUAACUAUAAACGAUUCCGACUAUGGAUCAGAAGGGUUUUCCAAUCCCUUUUGGCACAUUAUGAGAAAUCAAAGUCUUUGGGUUCUGGGGGAAGUAUGGACACAAGUCUGAAACUUAAAGGAAUUGACGGAAGGGCACACCAGGUGUGGAGCCUGCGGCUUAAUUUGACCCAACACGGGGAAACUUACUAGGGCAAGACUAAGGUUGGAUUGACAGAUUGAGAGCUCUUUCUUGAUUCUUAGGGUGGUGGUGCAUGGCCGUUCUUAGUUGGUGGAGUGAUUUGUCUGGUUAAUUCCGUUAACGAACGAGACCUCAACCUGCUAAACUAGGAGCCGGAUUAAACAUUCGGUUUCCUUCUUAGAGGGACAAAGUGUUCAAGCACUGGGAAGUGAGGCAAUAACAGGUCUGUGAUGCCCCUAGACGUCCUAGGCCGCACGCGCGCUACAAUGACACGUUCAACGAGUUUCUUCCUGGUCCUGACGGAUUCGGGUAAUCUUCAUAGUACGUGUCGUGCUUUGGGAUAGUCCUUUGCAAUUAUAGGACUUAAACUAGGAAUACCUAGUAUAGGUAAGUCAUCAGCUUGCCUAGAUUAUGUCCCUGCCCUUUGUACACACCGCCCGUCGCUCCUACCGAUUUUGAGUGAUUAGGUGAACCUUCUGGAUCAGAGUAGUCUUCAAGGCUGUUCUGAGAAGUUAAGUAAAUCAUUAUCACUUAGAGGAAGGAGAAGUCGUAACAAGGUU
rnacentral:rRNA from 1 species